rnacentral:lncRNA from 1 species
GUUUUAGCGUUAGAUGGGAUUUAUGGUUAGGUUUAGGUAGGGUUUUAGGGUUAGGUUUAGGCAGGGUUUACGGUUAGCAUGGUUUAGGGUUAGGUAAGGUUUAGGGUUAGAAAGGGUUUAGGGUUAGGUAGGGUUUUUUGGGUUAGGCAGGGUUUAGGGUUAGGAAGGGUUUAGGGUUAGAAAGGGUUUUGGGUUAGGUAGGGUUUAGGGUUAGGUAGGGUUUUGAGUUAGGUAGGGUUUAGGGUUAGGUAGGGUUUAGGCUUGGUAGGGCUUAGGGUUAGGUAGAGUUUAGGGUUUAGGGUUAGGUAGGGUUUAGGGUUUUGGGUUAGGUAGGGUUUAGGGUUAGGUAGGGUUUUGAGUUAGGUAGGGUUUAGGGUUAGGUAGGGUUUAGGCUUGGUAGGGCUUAGGGUUAGGUAGAGUUUAGGGUUUAGGGUUAGGUAGGGUUUUGAGUUAGGUAGGGUUUAGGGUUAGGUAGGGUUUAGGCUUGGUAGGGCUUAGGGUUAGGUAGAAUUUAGGGUUUAGGGUUAGGUAGGGUUUAGGGUUGGUAGGACGGUUUAGGUAGGGUUUAGGGUUAGGUAGAGUUUAGGGUUGGUAGGGCUUAGGGUUAGGUAGGGUUUAGGGUUAGGUAGGAUUUAGGGUUACAUAGGGUUUAGGGUUACGUAGGGUUUAGGGUUAGGUAGGGCUUAGAAUUGGGUAGAGUUUAGGGUUAGUAGGGUUUAGGGUUAGGUAGGGUUUAGGGUUAUGUAGGGUUUAGGGUUAGAAUGGUUUUACGGUUAGGUAGGGUUUAGGGUUAUGUAAGGUUAGGGUUAGGUAGGGUUUAGAAUUAGGUAGGGUUUAGGGUUAGCAUGGUUUAGGGUUAGAAGGGUUUAGGGUUAGUAGGGUUUAAUUUAGGGUUAGGUAGGGUUUAGGGUUAGGUAAGGUUUAGGGUUAGAAGGGGUUUAAAGUUAGGUAGGGUUUAGGGUUAGGUAAGGUUUAGGGUUAUGUAGGGUUAGGGUUAGGUAGGGUCUAGAAUUAGGUAGAGUUUAGGGUUAGGUAAGGUUUAGGGUUAUGUAGGGUUAGGGUUAGGUAGGGUCUAGAAUUAGGUAGGGUUUAGGGUUAGCAUGGUUUAGGGUUAGAAGGGUUUAGGGUUAGUAGGGUUUAAUUUAGGGUUAGGUAGGGUUUAGGGUUAGGUAAUGUUUAGGGUUAGAAGGGGUUUAGAGUUAGGUAGGGUUUAGGGUUAGGUAAGGUUUAGGGUUAGAAGGAGUUUAGGGUUAGGUAGGUUUUAGGGUUUAGGGUUAGGUAGGAUUUAGGGUUAGGAAGGAUUUCGAAUUAGGUAGGGUUUAGGGUUAUGUAGGGUUUAGGGUUAGGUUUUAGGUUGGGUUUAGGGUUAGGUAGGGUUUAGGGUUGGUAGGGCUUAGGGUUUAGGGGUUUAGGGUUACGUAGGGUUUUAGGGUUGGUAGGGCUUAGGGUUAGGUAGGGUUUAGGGCUAGGUAGGGUUUAGGGUUAGGUAGGGUUUAGGGUUACAUUGGGUUUAGGGCUACGUAGGGUUUAGGGUUAGGUAGGGUUUAGAAUUGGGUAGGGUUUAGGGUUAGGUAGGGUUUAGGGUUAUGUAGGGCUUAGGGUUAGAAUGGUUUUACGGCUAGGUAGGGUUUAGGUUAGGUAGGGUUUAGGUUUAUGUAGGGUUACGGUUAGGUAGGGUUUAGAAUUAGGUAGGGUUUAGGGUUAGCGUGGUUUAGGGUUAGAAGGGUUUAGGGUUAGUAGGGUUAAGUGGAUUUAGGGCUAGAAAGGGUUUAGGGUUAGGUAGGGUUUAGGGUUAGGUAAGGUUUAGGGUUAGAAGGGGUUUAGAGUUAGGUAGGGUUUAGGGUUAAAAAGGGUUUAGGGUUAGAUAGGGUUUAGGGUUAGGUAGGGUUUAGGGUUAGGUAAGGUUUCAAAUUAGGUAGGGUUUAGGGGUAGGUAGUGUUUAGGGUUAGGUAGGGUUUAGGGUUAGAAAGGGUUUAGGGUAAGUAGGGUUUAAGGUUAGUAGGGUUUAGGGUUAGUAGGGUUUCGGGUUAGGUAGGGUUAGGGUUAGA